GGUAUUGUGGCUCAGCGGUAGAGCUCUCCUCUAGCAUGGGUGGGACCUGGGUUCGAUCCUCAGCACCA
rnacentral:tRNA from 1 species